rnacentral:lncRNA from 1 species
AACUUCUGUUGUCAUCCAGUGGCUGAAAUCAACUGGAAGCCUACAGGGAAAGACCUGCCUCCUGGGACACAGAGCAGCUGUUGAUAUCGAUGGAAUUCCUGACCAGUAACAUUUCCAUGAAGAUCAUUACAAUUUAUUUCUUGAAAUUCUGGGAAGGCAUGGAAACAUCACAUUGCAGCAGAUGCUGGGGAUGCAGCAAUGAACAAGACAGGCCAGAUCCCUACUCUCAGAUAAACACAAUGAUCCAGGUCAGUAGGCAUUUGGUAGGAAUCUGCAUCAAACUGUUGGGCAAUGGUAGACAGCAACAUUGACGUCUGUAAAUUUACACUUGGAUUCUUAGUUUCUGGUUGGCUGCAUCCUUCUUCUGAAGGCCACUGCUCUUUUCAGAAGACCUCCCUAGAUGGCUAAGCUCUCUGGGUUGCAACAGUUGCUCUUUUUCCUUGAGCCUUAGGUUAGGGAGUUGGGAGGAAGUAAUGGCUUCCCCCACUGCUAGCUCCAGGGUGCUACACUUUCUCUUUUCUAGUUUCCCUAAUCUGGCUUACACCAUUAUAGAUAGACCCUUUAUUAAAAUAUCCUCAAUUUAUCCAUA